UUAAAGAUAGGAAGUGAAAUCAAAUGGAUGUUGGUGAGUACCCUACGGCAACCAUUGCUUCAUUUCAUGGUUCAGAGUGAACUCUAAUCUGGAAGCCUUCCUUAGGUCAUUCCUGCUUCUGGGAUCCAACUCUAUGUUGUGCUUAAGAAAUGUGUCACAUCAGACAGAGUGAAUCACAAGACAGAGAUAUUUACCUAUCACAUAAGUAUUUUAUUAGAUUUCAAGAAUGAAGAGGAACAGUUUAUCUGUUGGGAAUAAAAUUGUCCAGUUGUCAGGAGCAGCGAAACAGCCAAAAGUUGGAUUCUACUCUUCUCUCAACCAGACUCAUACGCACACGGUUCUUCUAGACUGGGGGAGUUUGCCUCACCAUGUAGUAUUACAAAUUUUUCAGUAUCUUCCUUUACUAGAUCGGGCCUGUGCAUCUUCUGUAUGUAGGAGGUGGAAUGAAGUUUUCCAUAUUCCUGACCUUUGGAGAAAGUUUGAAUUUGAACUGAACCAGUCAGCUACUUCAUCUUUUAAGUCCACUCAUCCUGAUCUCAUUCAGCAGAUCAUUAAAAAGCAUUCUGCUCAUCUUCAGUAUGUCAGCUUUAAGGUAAGAAAAAUAAGCAUUAAAUGGAAACCAUGACUUACAUUUCGUUAACAAUGCUUUUGUAUAUCUAG
rnacentral:lncRNA from 1 species